GCCCUGGAGAGGUCAUCUAAUCCUCCACUACCACCACCACCCUUGACACCCCACACCCACACCCACACAUUCAAACAAUUCCCUGUUUUCCUUCAGAGAGGCCAGAGGCAUUUGUUCUCUGAACAGAAGAGUAUUAAGCAAGCCUUGGGGGUGAGCUUCAUUAAAGUUCUGUGAUGACAGUUGAAAAGGAAUGUUCUAUUUCUCCCCAAAGGGCUGGAGAAAUAAGAAAAGAUGAUGUGCAUUGAAAUGGUGCCCAGCUGCACUGAAGCCAGUAACCGUGCAAUCGAGAGGUUGUGCAAGCACAGCAGAUUAUAAGGAUCCAAGGUAUCCAGUGCCUGCCUUACCCAUUCCCUCCCAUUCCCUCCAAAGCUCUGGCCAUCCAACCCAUGCCACAGAGCACCACUGCAGGUCUUGGAUCAAAGACUCUUGGGCAGGUGUCUAGGGACCAACUGUACCAAUGUACUCCCUGCCACCACCUUCUCAAUCAAACAUGCUCCCACUAAAGAAUCUAGGAGAAACUCAUUCAUAGCAGAAGAUAUAAGGACUGAUGAGUUUAAGGUAUUACCAGUUUAUCCUUACCAAGGGCAAAACCAUUUUUUGGCAUAAGCCAAAGGAAUAAAACCAUUUGUGGAACCA
rnacentral:lncRNA from 1 species